UACGGGGGGGCAAGCGUUGUUCGGAAUUACUGGGCGUAAAGGGCUCGUAGGCGGCCAACUAAGUCAGACGUGAAAUCCCUCGGCUUAACCGGGGAACUGCGUCUGAUACUGGAUGGCUUGAGUUUGGGAGAGGGAUGCGGAAUUCCAGGUGUAGCGGUGAAAUGCGCAGAUAGUCAGGAAGAACACCCGUGGCGAAGGCGGCUCUCUGGUACGUGACUGACGCUGAGACGCGAAGCGUGGGAGC
rnacentral:rRNA from 1 species